AAAGGGUGCGUAGGCGGGGUAUCAAGUCAGUGGUGAAAUCCUGCAGCUCAACUGUAGAACUGCCAUUGAAACUGAUAUUCUUGAGUAUAGUUGAGGUAGNCGGAAUGUGUUAAGUAGCGGUGAAAUGCAUAGAGAUAACACAGAACACCGAUUGCGAAGGCAGCUUACUAAACUAUUACUGACGCUGAGGUACGAAAGCGUGGGGAGCGAACAGGAUUAGAUACCCUGGUAGUCCACGCCGUAAACGUUGAUCACUAGUUGUUUGCGAUACAUUGUGAGCGACUGAACAAAAGCAUUAAGUGAUCCACCUGGGGAGUACGUUGGCAACGAUGAAACUCAAAGGAAUUGACGGGGGCCCGCACAAGCGGAGGAACAUGUGGUUUAAUUCGAUGAUACGCGAGGAACCUUACCUGGGCUUAAAUGUAAGACGACUAACAGGGAAACUUGUUAUCUUUCGAGCGUCCUACAAGGUGCUGCAUGGUUGUCGUCAGCUCGUGCCGUGAGGUGUCGGGUUAAGUCCCAUAGCGAGCGCAACCCUUAUCGUUAGUUGCCAGCGGGUAAUGCCGGGGACUCUAGCGAAACUGCCAUCGUAAGAUGUGAGGAAGGUGGGGAUGACGUCAAAUCAGCACGGCCCUUAUGUCCAGGGCUACACACGUGUUACAAUGGUCGAAACAAAGGGCAGCUACUUGGUGACAAGAUGCUAAUCUCUAAAAUCGAUCUCAGUUCGGAUCGAAGUCUGCAAUUCGACUUCGUGAAGUUGGAUUCGCUAGUAAUCGCGCAUCAGCAAUGGCGCGGUGAUACGUUCCCGGGCCUUGUACACACCGCCCGUCAAGCCAUGGAAGCUGGGGGUACCUGAAGUCUGUAACCGAGAGGAGCGGCCUAAGGGUAAACUAGUAACUGGGCUAAGUCGUAGCAAGGUAAC
rnacentral:rRNA from 1 species